rnacentral:rRNA from 1 species
CAGGCCUAACACAUGCAAGUCGAGCGCACCCUUCGGGGCGAGCGGCGGACGGGUUAGUAACGCGUGGGAACGUACCCUUUUCUACGGAAUAGCCUCGGGAAACUGAGAGUAAUACCGUAUAAGCCCUUCGGGGGAAAGAUUUAUCGGUAAAGGAUCGGCCCGCGUUAGAUUAGAUAGUUGGUGGGGUAAUGGCCUACCAAGUCUACGAUCUAUAGCUGGUUUUAGAGGAUGAUCAGCAACACUGGGACUGAGACACGGCCC